UACGUAGGGGGCAAGCGUUGUCCCGGAUUUAUUGGGCGUAAAGAGCGUGUAGGCGGCUAGGUAGGUCCGUUGUGAAAACUCGAGGCUCAACCUCGAGACGUCGAUGGAAACCAUCUAGCUAGAGUCCGGAAGAGGAGAGUGGAAUUCCUGGUGUAGCGGUGAAAUGCGCAGAUAUCAGGAAGAACACCCGUGGCGAAGGCGGCUCUCUGGUACGUGACUGACGCUGAGACGCGAAAGCGUGGGGAGCGAACAGG
rnacentral:rRNA from 1 species